UGGAGGAACGUGCGUACGCCCCAGCUUCCUGUUUGGUCGUGGUGAGAGGGAGCAUGACGUCACCGCUCUUGCUUUCCUUCACUCAAACACACCCGCGGUAUAUUGAGACACAAAUAUGGACGUGCAUCAAUGGCCGCCGCACAACAUUAAUGACACGAGUUACCUUCCCCAGGAACACGGUGGAGCUCACAGCGCCAGGAGAUGACGACGCGCUCAGCGCUGAUGGAACACCGUGUUGCGUUGACUGGACUGGAUGCCUGGACUCUCCUUAUGGAUAACCGGUCAGCACCCCAACACCAUUUUAAUAUGAUGUGCAUGUAUUUACCUGUAUGUCAAUUGUGGCACCCAUUGCACUCCUGACCAUCCCUGGAAAAAGGGAUCCCCUACAAGGCGUUUCUUCUCAAGAUUUCUUCCUUGCUGAUUUCAAGGGACAGAACCAUGACCAUGACAGAAACAUCAAACCAAAGGAAUAAACUGAAACCUUGCAUAAAUAUCAAACUAAAGGAACAAACUCAACCGUUACAGAAACAUCAAACUAAAGGAAGUGUAGGAGCCAUAUAUAUGUUUUGUUCAUACUUCGUAUUGGUUUGGUUCACAUAUUGGAAGCAAUAGGUAUUGGACAUUUAAUUUGUAUUGAUUAUUUCUAGUUGGAACAGUGUGUGGUCACGUGAGUGUGUAUGCCCCCCUAUAGGUCAAGGGGAGCAUAAAGGUGUGCCAAACCAGGAGAAGGAGUGCCCGGUGCUUGCGCAUACCAUCAUUGACAACAACGAAACCAGAAACACCAACACUUAGAACCACUUAGAACCACAGUUUAUCGUACUUUUUACUGCUUGAUUGUUCAACAAAAUAAAUCAUCAACCCG
ensembl:lncRNA